rnacentral:lncRNA from 1 species
UUCAGCUUUACCAUCACAACAGAAAAGAAAAUCAUGUGUGACGUCAAAGAGAAUCUGUGCUAUAUUACACUGGACUUUGAGAAAGAGAUGACUAUCGCUGCUUUCUCUUCCUCCCUGGAGAAAAGCUAUUGGCUGCUUGAUGGUCAGGUCAUCCCUACUGGCAAUUAGCAGUUUCACUGUCCCCAAGACUCUUUUCCAGCCCUAUGUCCUAUGUAUAGAAUCCUGUGCAUCCAUGAAGUUACUUUGAAUACCAUCACUAAAUGGAACAGUGACAUUUGUAAAGACUAUGGAAACACAGUGCUGUUCUUGGCACCAUAAUUUACCCAGGCAUUGCUGACUGGAUGCAGAAGGACAUCACUCCUCUGGCUCCCAGCACCACAGAGAUCACUCUUCCUGACUGCAAGUACUCUGUGUGGACUGGUAACUCCAUUUUGGUGUCACUGUCUACCUUCUAGAAGAUAUGGAUCAGGAGUCUAGCCCCUCCAUUGUGCACUGCAAAUGCUUCUAG